rnacentral:tRNA from 1 species
GGCUGAUUAACUCAGUGAGUUAUAGCAUGGUGCUGAUAACACCAAGGUCACGGGUUCAAUCCCCAUUCAGUCC